rnacentral:rRNA from 1 species
UACAGAGGGUGCAAGCGUUAAUCGGAAUUACUGGGCGUAAAGCGCACGUAGGUGGCGACGUAAGUCGGGUGUGAAAGCCCCGGGCUCAACCUGGGAAUUGCAUUCGAGACUGCAUUGCUGGAGUACGGAAGAGGAGGGCGGGAAUUCCCGGUGUAGCGGUGAAAUGCGCAGAUGUCAGGAGGAACACCGGUGGCGAAGGCGGGUCUCUGGGCCGAUACUGACGCUGAGGAGCGAAAGCGUGGGGAGCGAACAGG